ensembl:lncRNA
CCAUCAUUAAUAUUCCGCGCAAUGUGUAUGGCUUGAUUAUGUGAAUUAAAUGUGAAGUGACGUUUGCGCAGUGGUCUUAUCUGAUUGGCUAAUACGCAGAACGCGCUAGUCAGCUGGCCAAUCUAAUGACCAUCUAAUUAACAUUCAUGAGGUUAUUCUUCGCCACAGUAGGAUGGUCUAUGGUAAUUUGUCAUUCCGCGUCACGCGCUCAGCUGAUUCGGCAGCUUUUCUCGGCUCCUCCCACAAGGCAUCGGUCCUUCUCCACUCUCGUCCGCGAUCAUGGAGGCGCACGGGACGGAGCCGCUGCCGGUGCAGCCAGGCGUGGACACGCUGAUCCUGAACGGGGACGUGGCGGAACGAGAAGAAGCCGACCCCGCCAAGAAGAAGAAGAAGAAAAAGAAGAAAGGCAAGUCCGCCGCUUCCGCAGGACACAGCGAGCAGGGUGAGGACGGCGAGGUGGAGGUGAGGAUGAAACAAACCGAACAGCAGAACCUAGAUGAGAAAGAUAGAGAAGAGGAUGGAGAAGAAGGUAUUCAGCUUUCAAACGCACGUCUUCUAGUUCUUUUACCGUUGUUCUCCUACAGUGCUUCAGCGCUCUCAUUCACACAGACUGUGUGUGUUCAUACUACCAGUUACAGUUCCUUUACUUUGGUUUUGUAUCUCACAAUGCAAUACAUUUCUAGUUGUGAUGAAUGAAAUGAAUGUAAUCAAGAUGUUCGACAUUAUCUUGACACUUAUCUUGUGUUAUUACGCUAAAAUACAAAAUAUAAUUUUAGAUUUCAAAAAUAACUCAAGGUCUCAAGGUCAAGUCACAGCAAUGUAGCAAACCACGGCAGAAAAUGUUUAUCAUUUAUGUUUUUCUAAUAUAUACACACUUUUACACAAUUAUAAUAAAUACAUUUCAUUAUUAUGUAAUAAAUUCA